rnacentral:snRNA from 1 species
GGGCUGGAGAGCUGGCGCAGCCGUUAAAGGCGCAGGCUCACAACCAAAAAGACAAGAGUUCGGUUCCCAGCACCCACGCUUGUCUCUCCAGCUACCCUUUU